rnacentral:lncRNA from 1 species
CUUGAACCCAGGAGGCGGAAGUUGCAGUGAGCUGAGAUUGCGCCACUGCACUCCAGCCUGGACAACAAAGCAAGACCCCAUCUCAAAAAAAAAAAGAAAAAAAAAAGCACAGGCUCAGGGUUUGACACUCUGUCUUCCAUCACUGUGUGACCCAAGGUUUUCCUGGCAAAGGAGCCUUUGAUGGUGGAUGUCUUCAUGGCACAUGUGAGGACCAUCAAUACCAAAUCUCCCUUCAUCUGCUUGGAGUUCCCUGCAUCAGCACAUGAUCCCAUAUAGGGCAGGGUAAGCAUUGUUCUUCAGGUUUCUUUUUAAAACUCUAAGCGCUAUUGGGAAAGGGAAGCCAAUGGUCCUCCCACCACUGAGUGACUGGGGCUGGGUGGGCUAAACCUGGAGGAGAAGAGGCCUGGGAAGGGUGAGGCUGCCACGGGUACCUCAUAGGUUGGUUGACCAGGCCUGACUGGUGGCCUGUAAGGCUGCUACCUGGCA